CACCACCAUAUGCAGCAUGGAAGGAGAGCUGCAGACUCGUUGCCUCUUUCUCCAAACUUUAACCCCCGAUAACCUGAGCGGGGAAGACUAUCUGAAAGUAUCCUGACCGCCCAAUAAAUCAGUCACAUGGAGGCCUGCUGCAGUCAGGACCUGGAAGAUUUGCAUGAUGGUUGAAAUACAAAGAAAAGGAAUUUGCCUUGAAGAUGGCCUUCACCGGAUAAGAGCAAAUAUGCUUCUGCGUUUGAACAGUCUGAACACUCAGGACCUCACUGAUUUAAGAGCUGGUGAGAAUAUAAAGAUGUCUCAGAUUGUCCUGAGAUGGAAGUUCUUAUGGUCACAGGAUCUUGUUAGCUCUGAGAUCUGAUAAGAAUGAAAAUAUGCCAUAGCUGUGGGGACAAAGACCAGAGGCUGCUUGGUUUCAGAUGGUCCUGAGGUCGAAGUUCUUAUCAACAUCUCGUUAGCUAUGAGACCUGAUCAGAUGGUGCUUUGUUGCAGAUGGUCAUUAGAUGGAAGAUCUUAUCGACACAAGAUCCUUUUUAACUUUGAGAUGUGAUGGACCUGAGGUUAAAGCUCUUAUUGAAACAGGAUCUCGUCAGCUUUGAGAUCUGGCUGAUUGAUUAUUGAAGGAAUGGGGAAAGUAACCACAUGUUCCUGCCGAUGACCUAGUUUGUAAUGGUGCCCUAACACCAGAAAACUGCUGCCCUCAAGCAAACAGAACAACCCCCGAAUGAAGAAACUACAAUUGUUAAUGUUUAACAUCUGAAUAAAAAAAAAUGUGAUUGCUUCAAUCCUUUGUUUUGUUUAAAUAAACAGUAACU